rnacentral:tRNA from 1 species
GAGGCAUUGAUUUACAAUGACUUUCUGCCGGACUCUUAAUCCGUAGGUCGAGUGUUCGAGUCACUCACGCCCCA